rnacentral:rRNA from 1 species
CUGCUGCCUUCCGUAGGAGUUUGGGCCGUGUCUCAGUCCCAAUGUGGCCGAUCAACCUCUCAGUUCGGCUACGCAUCAUUGCCUUGGUAAGCCUUUACCCCACCAACUAGCUAAUGCGCCGCGGGCCCAUCCAAAAGCGGUAGCAUAGCCACCUUUUACAUAGCUACCAUGCGGUAACUAUGGUUAUGCGGUAUUAGCACCUGUUUCCAAGUGUUAUCCCCCUCUUUUGGGCAGGUUGCCCACGUGUUACUCACCCGUUCG